rnacentral:rRNA from 1 species
AUACGGAGGGCACAAGCGUUGUUCGGAAUUAUUGGGCGUAAAGCGCGUGUAGGCGGCUUGGCAAGUCGGGUGUGAAAGCCCGGGGCUCAACCCCGGAAUUGCAUUCGAAACUGCUGGGCUAGAGUCUCAGAGAGGAGGGCGGAAUUCCCGGUGUAGAGGUGAAAUUCGUAGAUAUCGGGAGGAACACCAGUGGCGAAGGCGGCCCUCUGGACGAUGACUGACGCUGAGACGCGAAAGCGUGGGGAGCAAACAGCAUUAGAAACCCUGGUAGUCC